GAAAGUAAUACAGUACCCUUAAAUUUGUCUAAGAAGGUUAAGUAAUGGGUUGGUAGCCUUUGAAUUAGCUAAUAGACAUCAGCUCCUGUUUUACAGUUAAUGUCUUCACCACGGAUACAGUCCUUAAACUUAAACAAACAGUUUAUCGCAUUUGCAGAAUUGAUAUAGAAAGACAGAUGUUAACGCUUUCAAAUUACGUGGAACUAAAAUGCGGAACUUUGGGCCAGUACAAAAUA